UACGAAGGGGGCUAGCGUUGCUCGGAAUUACUGGGCGUAAAGCGUGCGUAGGUGGUUCGUUAAGUCUGAUGUGAAAGCCCUGGGCUCAACCUGGGAAUGGCAUUGGAUACUGGCGACCUAGAGUGCGGUAGAGGGUGGCGGAAUUCCCGGUGUAGCAGUGAAAUGCGUAGAUAUCGAGAGGAACACCGGUGGCGAAGGCGGCCAACUGGACGAAUACUGACGCUGAGACUCGAAAGCGUGGGGAGCAAACAGG
rnacentral:rRNA from 1 species